rnacentral:tRNA from 3 species
GCGGAAGUGGCUCAGUUGGUAGAGCAUCUCCUUGCCAAGGAGAAGGUCGCGGGUUCGAGUCCCGUCUUCCGCUCCA